rnacentral:rRNA from 1 species
UACGUAGGGUGCAAGCGUUGUCCGGAUUUACUGGGCGUAAAGGGCUCGUAGGCGGCCAACUAAGUCAGACGUGAAAUCCCCAGCUCAACCUGGGAACUGCGUCUGAUACUGGAUGGCUUGAAUCCGGGAGAGGGAUGCAGAAUUCCAGGUGUAGCGGUGAAAUGCGCAGAUAUCAGGAGGAACACCGGUGGCGAAGGCGGCAUCCUGGACCGACACUGACGCUGAGGAGCGAAAGCCAGGGGAGCAAACGGG